rnacentral:lncRNA from 1 species
GUGUACAAGUUGUACAAAUUAUAAUUUGUAUUGUACAGAUUUUUUGUACAUGUUAUCAGUGUUUUCUGAACCACUUGACAAAAAUGGAUGAUUCAAGCACAUAGCCUUUUGUUUUUCUACUUCUGGCUUUUUUAAUUUGAACUUUGCUUGUAAAUAAAGUGAUUUUAAGUAUACAAAUUCUAUAAAUAGUAUCAUAUUGGAUAAAUUCUGUCUAUAAAUAGUAACACAGAGGAUGAAUACAAUCUGUACAAAACAACAAUAAAUCUGCAUAAAACUUAACAAAUUAACAAAAUUUAACAAAUUAUACAUCAAUAUUUUAAUAUAUCAACAGAAAGGAGUUGGGUGGGAGUAUUUACCUGUAGAUCAGCUCACAUAUACUAAACAUAAACACACUAUUGUGACCUACAAACUCCAUCAUUAAUAACAUUCCAAUCCAUCAACACACUUAGCAUUUCAAUUAACAUUCAAAAUCAUCAUAUCUGAUAAUCAUAGGAAAUUAAAUGCUUAAGAAUUGAUGUGAUAAAUGUUUUUUUUUAGGGAAAUGCCUCAAUGAAUUGGUUUGAUCAGAGAUAUUAGGAAGUCGAUUCUGCAAAGCACAGCAGCUCAAAUCAAAUACAAGAUAUGAUGUUACCAUCAGCAUGAUUCACAGUUUUUCACACUGCAAAGAAGUUUACAAUUGUCAGUUAGAUCUGUCUAUUUUUUUUGAAUGUUUAUUCAACUGGUGGAAAGGCCUGACUCGCCAAGUUGUCUAGUUUGGGUUGCUGUCUGUUUGACACAUUCCCAAUUUCCAUUCUCAAUUUUAGGUAGUGUUUCUUGAUCUCUAGUAUGUCAAGAUCUAACCUGCUUGUUGCAAGGUACAUUAGCCUAAGAUCUCUUGAUCUCUAGUAUGUCAAGAUCUAACCUGCUUGUUGCAAGGUACAUUAGCCUAAGAUCUCUUGAUCUCUAGUAUGUCAAGAUCUAACCUGCUUGUUGCAAGGUACAUUAGCCUAAGAUCUCUUGAUUUAGUAUGUCAAGAUCUAACCUGCUUGUUGCAAGGUACAUUAGCCUAAGAUCU